CUCUCUCUCUCUCUCUCUCUCUCUCUCUUCCUCUUUCAUUUUUCAUACAAAAAUUAUGAUCUACAAAGAUCCGACGGGCCAAACUCAAAUUUGAUUUCGGAAACGUAAUCUACGAAGUCCAAUCUAUGUUUCCACCGAUUGGUUUGAGGAUUUACAUGGUUUGGAACUUCCUAAACACUUUCCCAGCGUUAGAUUUCAUUUGGGCAAAUUUUGGUGACGCAUUGCAAGGUGAUGUCUAGGAGACCUAGUACUUAAAUCCACACAGCCAAGCAACCCCCGCAACCGUGCAGACGUUUAUGCUUUGGUUGCAAGUUUUGCGGAUAUAGUUAUUGACUCGUCCACCUAGUGUAUGGGAUGCUAUGAUUGGAGCAUAUCGCGACAGUCAUAAGUCACGGACUCAUGGGUAGUUCGCAUUUUGGGUAUUUUAUUUAUGGCUCGUGUUCCAUGUGACACAUGUAUUUGUUGAGCCUAUAUUUAGUAUGUAAUUGGUGUAAUAGGUUUUAUAAGCCUUAAAUAGAUAGUCUUGUAAAUGGCUCUUGUUGUAAUUAAUUGUUAUGUAUUAGAUGUAUUUUCGCUUAUGAUAUGUGUUCCGCUGCACAUUGAUUAUUA